UACGGGGGGGGCAAGCGUUGUUCGGAAUUACUGGGCGUAAAGGGCUCGUAGGUGGCCAACUAAGUCAGACGUGAAAUCCCUCGGCUUAACCGGGGAACUGCGUCUGAUACUGGAUGGCUUGAGUUUGGGAGAGGGAUGCGGAAUUCCAGGUGUAGCGGUGAAAUGCGUAGAUAUCUGGAGGAACACCGGUGGCGAAGGCGGCAUCCUGGACCGGUAUUGACACUGAAAAGCGAAAGCCAGGGGAGCAAACGGG
rnacentral:rRNA from 1 species